AACAAAUCUGCAAGAAAGAGGUAAAAAAAAAUGCCAACAUAAGCCAUCCCUAUAGUGUGCGGGUGUAUUUGCCCACACUUGCAUGUAAGCAUUUGUCAUUAUGUUUCACUUUCCUGACCAUGUUGAGUUUGGUUAAACAUUGAAUGCCCUUUUGUCAUUAACAUUUUAUUUGUGUAAACUAGCAGUUCAUUUACAUCAUUUUAUGCAAGCAUUCCAAUCAUUAGCGCUGAAAGCUUCACUUAACAUCGCUUUCCACAUAAGCAUGGGAUACACUAAGAUUUUCAUUCUACAAACUUUCAGAAAGCAUUGGAGCACCACCAUGAUGAGCUGUUAAUGUGACUCUGAACAAGACGAAAAUUGAAAGAAUCAUAGAACUGUGUGCUGUAAUGGUUUGCUUUGGAACCGGUUUGCUCUCACAAAUGUUAUUGGCCGACACUUUGUUGUUGUCAUCCCGAAAGGGUGUUACUGCAAAUUUUAUUGUCGCUGCACAAAUCAAUCAUCUGGAAAGGGAACCUGUCAUCUGCUAUGAGCGAAACCACAGAAAACUUGUUCGCUUGAGGGUGGUGCACAGCCGCAAGCAUGAUAUAGAAGGUUGCUAAGCCAACCGUGGUCAUCCGCUAGUCUCGUACUGGCCAACAUGACGAGACAGAGGCACCAAUGGCUGCUCCAUUGAUGUGUUGCUGGCGAGCAUUGGCGAAAGACAACCAUGUUACGAGAAGCAUCGGUGGGACUUGUUGACAUGAGCGAAGGAGAGUUACAAAGACAUUUGAGACUCUCCAAAGACACAGUAUGAUCAUUUACGACGAGCUAGAAUAUCUUGGACCACAAGAGCUAGGGGUGUUGACAUUGCAACAAAAGUGGUGUGUGUGCUGAAUUUUAUUUUGCCCCAGGUUGUUUUCAGCGGUGCGUCUGGAAUGAAGAAGUGAUUGCGUUGUUGCAACUGUCAGUCAGUCAGUCAGAUCAUUACUGCCGUAGCCAGGGCCAAUACGGUUGAGGGAAAAUAAACAGUGUGGGUGAGAUUUCCUUCCAUGCUGCAGGAGAAGGCCACAGUCAAGGAACGCUUCCUUGACCAUGGCAAGAUUCUCGAAGUAGUGGGAUGUGGACGAAACUCAUCGCAAUCGUCCACCCUCAGGAGCUCAACCUCGGCGAAACUAAGUCCUAUUAGAGCCGCAGCCCCCUUGAUUGCUUAUCGUAUAUGGCGCACCACCUAGCAACUAAAAAAGAAAACGGAAAUAAAAUUAAAACAUCAAUGGCUGUCUUUACUGGUAGCUCAAAUUUUUUGCUGGAAAUUAAAUAUUCAAGUGUUCUAUAUAAACAAAUAUUUUUAUAUCAAACUAACAACAUCCUGCAAUUACAAUAUCAUUCCCAAAGUGCAAACAAAAAUAAUGAUGUGACCUUCCAGCAGACCGUCGCUCGUUGAUUGGCCUCCCUCGCGCUGCGCCAUUCCACUCUUUCUCCGAGUGAUGUAAUCCUUAUGUAACAGCCAGAGUGAACUGGUUACAAAGCAAACCGAUACAGAAUGCGGCCCAUGGAGUUCUGAAAUGAUCAUCAAUGGUUUAAUAAGGAAGGUCAUAGUAGCCAUUGCUUCAACAAGUUAAUGUGCCUUUGUCGAGUCCUCUUGUUGAAUUGUUGGCUACGGCAGCAUUCAAGUCCCCUUGUUAAAACAUUGGCUACAGCGACACUGCUUGUUAAUGUGAGUGUAUAACUAUAAUGACUAAGGCAGAGCAAAUGAACCUAAUCUUUAAGCACAUGUAGGGAAACAUUUAGCAUUCCACAAGCACAUUUAACCUUCCAAAUUAAAACUUCCAAAUUUUAUUUCAUCAUUUCCUGAGAAAUUUUUGAGGGUGAUAUCACCCAGUAAACAGAUUAUGUUUUCAUGAUUAACGAUGUUACAACUGAUGACAGUGUUUUGAUGAUGGAUGUGUUUAAUCAACACUUCAGGUCUGUGUUUACACACAACAAUGGUUUUUUGCCAUGCUUUCAUGCUUCAAAUCCCCCUAUGCCAGACGUUACUAUUUAUGAGAAUGAAAUACUUAAUGUGCUUCUUAAUUUUGAUGUUAAGAAAUCACCUGGUCCUGAUGGUUUGCCAAAUGAGCUCUUAAAGCAAUAUGUGCAAUGGGUUUCUAAGUAUCUACAUGUACUGUUUUUCUAGAUCACCAUCUAAGGGUGAUAUACUAUAUACCGGUCAAUUGGGGAAUGGCAACAGUCAAACCGCUUCAUAAGAAUGGAAAUAAGCGACAUAUUUCAAACUACCAUCCCAUCUCUCUAAUCUCAACAUCAUGCAACUGCUCGAGAAUACCAUACUGCAUUCCACAUUUCCGAAUUCCUUUCAAAGCACAAGAUAUCAUGCAAUCAGCACGGUUUCAGAAAAAGUUUUUCUACAUGCACUCAAUUGGUAACUGCUAUACAUGAUUUUUCUCAGGCUAUAAAUUCAGGUAAGCAGGUUGACGCUAUCUUCAUAGACUUUGCCAAAGCACUUGACAAGUUUUCCCACAAAAGAUACUCCAUAAACUUCAUGUCAUACUUGGUAAUACCGAAAUUGUAAAUUGGCUGUCUGCAUAUUUUCCUAACUGGCAACAAUAUGUUUUGUUUAAUAACCAUUCCUCUGGGAGGCGUCCUGUCAACUCUGGUGUUCCUCUGGGGUUCUGUUUUGGGAUGACUUUUGUUUCUUCCGUUUAUUAACAAUAUUGUUGACAAUAUUCUGGUGCACAUUAAAUUGUGCGCAGAUGACUGUGUUAUGUAUUUACAAAUAUAAAGCAUAAAUGAUCAGCUAUGUCUAAAUGAGGCCUUUGAGAAGUUUGUAAACUGGUGCUAUGAAUGGCAUAUGAAUAUCAACUUUGACAAAACAGUCUUCACGAAAAUCUCUUGCAAGCCCACUCCUCUGCACUUCCAGUAUUCUGCUCAUAAUGUCCUGCUAUCUGAGGUUGACCACAUAAUAUAUCUUCAUAUUUGGGCUUCUAAGGGCCUCAGAUGGCAGAAACAAAUCAAUUCUCUGUGUAAUUGAGCCAAUCAAAAGCUAUUCUUCCUCAGACGGGCUUUGAGGCUGACUACUCCUGAGGUUCGCCUUCUUGCUUCUAAUGCAAUUGUACAGCCCUAUGCUAGAUUAUGCUUUCAUAAUGUGGUAGUCUUACAAAAUAGACAUUGAUAAAAUAGAAGGUAUUCAAAAAUGGGCAGUUUGGUAUAUGUAUAGCAGCUUCGGAUGCAUGUCAAUUACAGCUUUGCUAAACAGCCAACCUGCCGAUCAUGACUCAAAGGAAUCAAGUUUUAAGAUAAAUUUUAUGUUUCAACUAAUCAAGAAACAUUACAGCAUAGACAUUUCCCAGUUACUUUUUCGGUCAGCUAUGCUAUAAGGCAAAAAACAUGCACUAGUAAUCAGCCCCUUCACCAGCCGCAAUAACUGUUUUAGGUACUCCUUUUCCCCAGGACGAUAAUUGAAUGGAACCAACUACCAAAUUAUAUGGUUUUACAGCCAUCUUUGAAGUUGUUUUUGUCUAUUUCAUGCUACCCUGUAUUUUAAUUUUCUCAUUUUCCUUUCGCCUGAGUAGUCGCAUCAUAAAGAUUGCAUCCCCACCCUGUGAAAAUCGCAUUGUGAAAUUGCAGUACUUGUAUAUAAAUCAAUUAAAUAAACCUUGCUUCACUACAUAGAAAAGAAAAUGAUUACAUUUUGCUGAAGUGGACAGAUUUUCUUGACUGCAAAGUGUGACAUCAAGAGAAACGGUGUUUGAUAUGGAAAGAUGCCCAUGGAGUACGGAAGAUCUAGUGUACAGUUAGUAUGUCUGUGGUUUGGUUUCAAUGUGUAGAUUUCUCUGCUCUAUACACAUACUUGGUACAAAUUUUCGUAAGCAUUCAGGUGAGGAGGAUAUGACAGAUGUGGCCGCAAUUCCUCAAACCUGCAAAAUUUCUUGCUGGCAAUUUGGCGGGCAGGGGCUUUUUAUGUUUCCCUUGGCAUUGCUGCUACUGGUCUGACUGGCUAAUGCCAAGGAACAUUUCAGUUCUACCUCUGAAUAAGGCCAUAAAAGUGAGAGAGAAAGUGCAAUGUCAUCAGGACUGUGCGACUAUUCUUUUAGAGGUAGGACAUGUAUUGCCAAAAGAGGGCAUCUGAUCACUUUUUGUUCACCCAAGAUGGCUGCACUGAUGAUUGCAUUCUAAGCUUCUGUAGAGAUGAUAAAAAUGUGGCAUUUCUUUCUUUUUUCUACAGUGAACCACCAAAGGAGGCACCAAUGCAGGAAGUGCUGGCACUGUGUCAGAAAAAAAAUACUCUAUACUUUGCAGGAAUCUUGCUGAUUGUGUCUGUGCUCAGAGUGGCAAGGCUUUAGUUUGUUGCAUCGCACAACCUGAGAAGCACUGUUUCUGUCCUGAUAUGUACAUGUAUUCCAUAUGCUGUAAGCAUUAUUGCCUUUUGUAUUGCAGGUUAUGGUCUUGUGUUACAAUUCAAGUGGUACAUGUUGAAAGCAAGAUUGUUUUCUGCAUUCAGUGAAAGCUGUAUUGAAUUUCACACACUGUUGAAAAACUAUUAGUAUUUGCUGAAGUGAAAGGUGAUUCAAGUGAAAACAUAAAUACAUGGGCUUAGUAUCGUCCUAGGAUUUUUUAAAUAUGGCCAUGCACUUUAUGCAUCAGCAUGUACACCAAACCACGGCAGGGCACAGCUAGAGUCAUUGUCAGGAGUGGAUGACGACAGCCAAGAAUUGAACAGGUUGCAAAGUGACGAGAGCCAGUACACUCCAGACAGAAAAAGCAGCAUUGCUCAAAACAGUGAACCGUUAGGUUCCGGCAAAACAUUCCGCUGUCAGCUAUGCUCAUAUGUUGCAACAUACCCUUCAGUGAUGAAGUGACACAUGCUGGUACAUAAUGGGGAGAGACCCUUCAAAUGUCCAUAUUGUCCGUCAACGUUUGCGCGAGUGUCAAAUGUCAAAGUUCACAUGCACCUACACACUGCAGAAAAAAGCAGGCAAACCAAGAGCCAGCGCCGUAUAAGCAGUCGUCAUUUUCCGUGUUACCUGUGCCCUUUUACUUCUGCAAAUCGGACAAAUUUAGAGAAUCACCUGCGAACCCAUACAGGUGAGAGACCUUUCAAGUGCAACACAUGCUCUUAUGCAUCCUCCACUCAGUCCGAUUUGAAGCGACACAUGAUACUGCAGCACAGCACGUCUAAUCUAGGAGUCUAAUCAAGUCUAAGCACGUCACAUCUAAGCAUGUCUAAUCUCCCAUUACUUGUCCCUUCAAUUCAUGUCCAUGUAUGUUGUGUUGUGUCAUUCAUAACAUUGAACUAUGUACCAACUAACCCAACAGAGAUCUUUAAGCUAAUCUUAUAAACCCAUGCAACGAAUAUGCUCCUAAAGAAAUGUGAAAAUUGGAAACGACCGAUCUAACCACACAAUUAAACAGGCACAAACAGCUAAACAUUAGUGGAGCCGUUUAUGAUUUGGAAUAUGUCCUGCGAUUAUGAUGCUGAUGGAAGAAUCCCUUGUCAAACUGAUGGAAACAAGUGCAGUUUUUGAACCCUUCACUGACAAAUUAUAUCUAUAAUUUAAUGCGGAAAGUCACGAGAGUAUUACAAGUCAACACACUGCAUGUCCGUGCACAUCUCAUGACAUAAGCAUGUACAUUUUAGUCGAUACAGCUUUUUUUUUUUUUUGAGAAGCUAUCUCUUUACUAGUGUCCAAGGUUUUUCUCUGUUCAUUUUUUUUUCUUUUUGCAGUGGAUAUUUGCAUCAUGUACUGUUUGCAGCCUUGUGCAUAUUUUUGUUUACCUGGCAUUUCAGUUGUCACGUCUCCAUUGGCUGCUUCUUCCUUCAAGCUCUGAUGAUGCUGUGUGUUGCUUUGGUUCUCUUGUACCAUUGUCUUUUUUCAGAAAGCUUAUUAUGUAGUGAUGCCAAGGCCUUUUUUAAUCACUGCAGGUAGCUAGGAUACUUGCUAUUUCAGAAAAAGAUUAAAACGUUUCAUAGCUAUCUAAUUUUCAUAUAAGAGUGUCAUAAUUUGUCAAUUUUCACAUAGAGAUAUUUUCUUUCUACCAAACCUGCACUUAGAGCUUAACUUUAAUGGACUGCUAUUACUAUCACUCACAGUGAUGAGAGUUAUCUGUACACUUGUAAUACUGAAGGAACUGCUGUAGCUAUCAACACAGUUAAUAAUAACCUUCCGAUGCAUUACAAAAGUGUACAUGUUAUGCUAUGCAUGAAUGUUUUGUUUUAUGUAAGCAACAUCAUAUUUGGUUGAUCAGAUUUAGCUGUUCUUAAACUAUACUUUGGAAUAAAAGUUCUGAUUAUGUUCAUUGA